CUGCUGCCUUCCGUAGGAGUCUGGGCCGUGUCUCAGUCCCAAUGUGGCCGUCCACUCUCUCAAGCCGGCUACUGAUCGCUGCCUUGGUGGGCCGUUACCCCGCCAACUAGCUAAUCAGACGCGGGCCCAUCCUGUACCACCGGAGUUUUCCCCGGCAGCGCCAUGCGGCGCCGCGGGCUUAUGCGGUAUUAGCAGCCGUUUCCGGCUGUUGUCCCCCUGUACAGGGCAGGUUACCCACGCGUUACUCACCCGUCCGCCACUGGG
rnacentral:rRNA from 1 species